GCAUUCCAUGAUUGUUUUCCAUAUUAUUGGAUAAAGAAACUGAGCCUCAGUGAAGUACAUUGAUAUGCCCAGGGACACAUAGCAGGAGCAGAACAGCAGGGCCCAAUACCCGUUGAAGCAGGGCUUUAUACUCCGCAAGAGCAGAGUUCUACCACUAACUACCCUACUAGCAGCAUGGCUU